UUGCACCACAUACUGUUUGGUGCUGUCGGAAACCUUGGAGGACAGGUUCCAGGACACAGUGAGGUUCUGUUCGUUCAUCUCGAGAUCGCAAAAUCCUCAAAAAGCAUCUUUUCACUCCCUAAAUCCAAUGUUCCAACACAUUGACUCUUCUGCAAAGGGAGCUGAUCUCGCUUUUGCUGCAGCCCCACUUGCAGCAGGCGUUGGACAGACCCACCACGACGUCCCUGCCUUUGCGGUCAGC